rnacentral:lncRNA from 1 species
UUCGUGUUUCUUUUUCUGAUUAUGAUCAGCAUUGUCUGGUUGUAUGCUAGCGUGUUCCAUUGAUUCUCGUGCGGUAGGUCGUGGGUUCGAAGCCCGGUAGGUCAAACCAAUGACUUCAAAAUUUGUACAAUAAUGUGUCCAGGUAGGUUGACAUGUCUUCCAGCGGAAUGUUAACAGAUAACUUGUGAUCACUUGUGGCAUUAGAACGUCAAAAAUCCGGUUAAGUAACAAUGUUGGUCUAGUCUUCUCUGUACCUAUUCU